AUCCAAAUUACUUAUUUUCUAUGUAAGUUGCUUACUCUCUGCGUAAGGUACUUUUCAUACUAUUCAUGUAAGUAGCUGAGCAAGACCAAGGUAUAUUAAACGUUGGGGUGCAAAAGGAACGAUUUCACCAACAACUACAGAGCCCAUUACUUUGUAUUAGGGUUCACUGGAAACAACGAUAGUUAGGGUGGACUAGGAUUGAUCUCAAUGACCUUUUGGUUUAAUAGCCUCCAUUUCAUCCCAAUAGAUGUUAGGGUUUUCUACAAAACAACGAUAAUAAUGGUGUACUGGGGUUGACCUCAUUGACCUUUUGGUUUUAUAGCCUCAAGUUCAUCCUAAGUAGUCAAUAGCACAAUAAUGGCACCUGAUCAAUUCGGUUUAUAUACUUUUAGGACAGCAAGGAAGCAAGCUACAGCGAUGUUCAGACCCUAUCUACUUUGUUAUUUGAUUGAUUGCGCACCAUAGGAUUUUUUCAGCAUGUGUUUGUUUUUGCGGUCAUAUGAAGGGCUACAAAUUAUGUAUUGUAUUGGUAGCUUUUCAUGUCUGGUGAUAUUUGAUAUUAAAUUGUCUGGGCUUUGGCAGAGGCAAAUAGGUCCUAAACAAACUAAGACAUCAGCCACAUUAGCUUCUAAGGCACACGACACACAAAUGCAGGGCCAACACUUUUCAAUCUCAAGGACCCGCACAAGGUGCCUAUUAUUCACUGAUUUAUAUCCCAGAAGUGGUGUUGACAUGCAUUUUCCAUUGUUUUAAUCUGAUUUGAGGUUUCUGCUCUAUUUCAGGCUGAUCGAGAAAGCUUAAAUUUUCGAAAGUACAAGUUCGAGGAUGCUGCAAGGAGGGAACAACCACAUGAUAUUGAGGUAGUGUUUUUCCCAUUAUUUUUCAUGAUUUGUGGAUAUAUUACUAACACAUGGCUGGCAGGUCACAACAACUUUUAACUUGGGUCUUGCUGGGGCUUCUUCAAGCUCUUGUAAAUAUGUGCUCAACACUGAUCUGAUGCAAGUACGUGUUGAAAGUUUAGGGCUUUGGGGCCAUAUUUUAGGUGUACUUUUAGAAUCUGACUUUGACCUUCUUUUGCGCAGACAUUCCAACUUGCACGAGCUGUGAAAGAAGGCACUUUGCACAACCUCAUCACAGAGCUUCUCAUUUGGCUGCUGGACGAGCGGGUCCUGAUGACGGAUGACGAAAGUCAGCUGGUGAUGGCCAUGAAUGUGCUCAUGCUGAAGAUACUGGUAAGUCAACUCCCAUUUAUUAGAAGUGUUUGUAAAGUGAGGCAAAGAGACCCUGAGUUUUGACCUCUUUUCCCAUUUUUAUUACUAAAAUCAGCGUUGACUAGCUCUAAAUAUCUAUAAUCAGCUCAAAGAGGAAAAAGGCAACUAAGAUUCAUGGUACAACAUGACCUUUCUUUGUUCCUCCUCAAAGGUGGCUAAAACUAGUUCUAACUUGAGUUUCAGAGACCACCAAGCUCUUCGCUACUUAAUAGUUUAGACACUACCAAGCUUUUCUACUGAUUUAAUAGAGUGAGGAAAGAGUAGUAUUAAAAUCAAAAGAAGGGGGUAUCUUAUCGAAACUUUGGGUGACUUUACAGAUAUCUCAAUUGCCUGGUUUUUGAAACUUGAAUUUUCCUAGGAGAAUUCGAUGAACUUACCUGAUUUUUUUUUCAGGAAAAUGCGGAUCGCACAUCGGCUUUCAUAGUCUUGAUCUACCUGAGGCGUCCUUUGGGUUUAUCCAAGUUUGCUGCUCGUCAACAACAGGGAAUAACCAACGUCAGAAAGCAGAAAUUCUUGGAUCUUCUUGUGAAGUGCCUCAUCAAGCUCCCAAGGUACUGGUCUUGCAUGUGUUGAAGCUAAACUUUCACUACUAAACGUAGAGACCUUGGACCUGAUAAAAAAUUCUCGGUGGCAGGUUCUUGGCCCCACUUUGCUUGAAGUAGACCUUGAUCGAAUUCUCCAAAGCAUUCAUGACUAUUUUGAGGAGCUGGGAAUGGCAGAAAUAAGAAAAAGGUACCAGUUCACACACUUUUCUGAUUGUGGUGAAUGUUUUUGGAGAUUUCACCUGAUUUUGAAAUACCUCAGUCCGGUGCUUUUCAUCAUGCUCUGAUGGAAAUUUGUUGCCACUAGGCGGGUGCUGAUGGUAAGCCUUUGCGCAUGGUGAAGACACUUUUACAUGAGCUAGUGAAACUCCGUGGCACUGCAAUCAAAGGUCACCUUUCGUUGGUGCCCAUUGAUGUGGAGCCCCAACCUAUCUUUCUGGCUUAUUAAGACCCCAACCUCUAGGUGACUUUUUAAGACCGAAAAUUCUAACUCUGUAAUUUAGAGGUAUAUCCUACCUGUGAUGUUUGGGGUUUUGUCUUCUUAGAGCUUUUGAUCCUUAUCUGUGUGAAAUCUUGUAGAUCUUGGGAACAUCGGGACAAACGCAAUGCUCUCCAAGUAAUAGAAGCACGUCACCGUCGAAUCAAUCUACCGAGGCACAGCUGAAAGUAAGUUUUACAUCUUACGUCUACAUGGGAUACAUUGAUACCUAUUACAUCAACAGGAUCUAUGAUGGUGAUUUAUAAUAUAUAUUGAUAAUUAAGAUGCAACUUCUGACUUUUCUCUUAGUUUUAAUAAUCUUGUAUAAGAAAUUUUGUUCAAAAACAGGGAUUCUUAUACUCAUGUGUUUGUCGGUUAUGCAGCAAGAGCUUGCUGCAGUGUUCAAGAAAAUUGGUGACAAGCAGACAUGCACAAUUGGACUUUAUGGGUCUACCGCAUCACACAGCUAUAUCCACAGGUGCGAAACCGUCACUUGUUUCUACAAAAUUCGUCAAUAAAAUAUGGUUUUUUGUUUCGUAUGUUUAUAUUCAUAUCCUUCUGAUUUGUGAUGUUUUUGUCCUGGUUUAUUAUUUAGUGCUGAUCUGAUCAAAACAAUGACAGUGAUCAAGCGCAAGCCAUGAGUCGCUUCUUCCUCUCAAUGUUUCUUUCUGAAGAAGCUCAUUGAUUCUCGUCCACGGAUUUCAUCUCAUCUCAUGAAGGGUAGUAUUCACCAAUCUUGAAAACUCAUCUUGCUCAAACCAGUCCGGUUAAUAAAAUGUGAGUUCAAAAGUACCAACAACUCGAGCCUACCUCAACCUCAAGGUUUGUUGAUGUAUUUUUCGGCAUAGUCCAAAUUCCACCUGUUGCGAUGUUCCAACGACACGACUAAUAUGUUAUACAAUUGUCCUCUAGACUAAGAGUCUCCUACAUCUUUAGAUUCUUGCU
rnacentral:lncRNA from 1 species